CCCUGGCGCAGUCGGCCACCUUAACGUGGUGCCAGGUUCCAGGGCUCUUACUAGAGAGGAGGCUAAGUGCCUG
rnacentral:ribozyme from 1 species